GCCUUCUUAAAAGCGUUAGGAAAUCAAAUAGAGGGACCGACACACACAACAAACGCGCGAGCGCGCGCGCACACACACACACACACAUACCGAAGCCAAGAAGCUCCUCUUGUCCGGACACACCUUGCCUCGGAUUCCGCAUUCGGGGGACAGAGAAUCCAAGCGAAGGAGAGCCGGGGUGGGGGCGGACAUCCCAGGUUCUUCCCCGGCCACCACUCCUAUUAUUCCAGUCGCUCUCCCCGCACAUGGUGUCACCCCGGCGUUCCCCACCUCCGGUCCUAGAACUCCAACUCCGCACCAGAUUCCGCGCUCCCCAGGUUCAAGCUCUCCCCCCGAAAUCGACAGACCAACUGUCUCCUCCCUCCCCAGUACCCUCUUUAAACUCCCCAAAGAAAGGACAUUUCCUACCCGCGCAGAAAACUUUUUCCUCGUUUUGCAACGCGAUAAGGCAUGAAACCCGGUCAGCCGCUACCGCCACCCGCUUUGCCCAGCGCCGCGCUGGCGGAGGCCGUCCUUACCUGGCCGCUGCGCUCCAGGUGGCCGUCCCGCGCCGGUCGUCCGCGAUCCCCCGAAGCGCGGGAGGCGCCCGGUCCACUGUGCGCUGGUCGCCUCCCGCUCAGCGUUCAGGAAGAGAGUGUCCUAGGACUGAGCGCCCAAGCCCGGGGCCACCCUUCGGUUCAUCACUCGUCUUUCCAGAAGAGCCCUCGCCGCCCAGGCGAACUGACGAGGAGCGUGGGGAUUCGGGAUGGCACCGACUUGCCCCGCGAUGUGCGCUCCCGGGUCCGAGAGCGCUCUGCCCGCGGGCAGCUGCGGCCGCGCGUCACAUGCCGCCUCCGGGCAGCGGCCGCGGCACCUGCCCAAGCGGCAGCGCUCCCGGCUCCGCACUGCCGCCCCCGCGCCUGGGGCUCCCUGCGCGCUCUAGCCCUUUCAGUUCACGUCCUUUCUCCCUCUAUCUCCCCCUUCACUUCUUUCCCUGCCGCCGCCUUCUUCCCGUCCCCUCCUUUAUCGUAGUCUCUUUCUCCACAAGCAGACGCCAGGCGCUUCAAGUGGGAGGUCUUCCCUCCUCACUAACUCUUCCUCUGCCUGGUGGUGGCGGUCGUGGCUACUGCUGGCCGCUCCUCCUUCCCUUCCUCCCCCACGCCGGUCCUCCUCCUCCUCCCCGGGCUGCGAGCUGGUGUAAUGCACAAGCCGCCUGGGUGAGACCCAAACCUGCCAGCCUUCUGAG
rnacentral:lncRNA from 1 species